rnacentral:rRNA from 1 species
ACAAUGGGGGCAACCCUGAUCCAGCCAUGCCGCGUGAGUGAUGAAGGCCUUAGGGUCGUAAAGCUCUUUCGCCAGGGAUGAUAAUGACAGUACCUGGUAAAGAAACCCCGGCUAACUCCGUGCCAGCAGCCGCGGUAAUACGGAGGGGGUUAGCGUUGUUCGGAAUUACUGGGCGUAAAGCGCGCGUAGGCGGACUAUUAAGUCGAGGGUGAAAUCCCGGGGCUCAACCCCGGAACUGCCUUCGAUACUGGUAGCCUUGAGUUCGAGAGAGGUGAGUGGAAUUCCGAGUGUAGAGGUGAAAUUCGUAGAUAUUCGGAGGAACACCAGUGGCGAAGGCGGCUCACUGGCUCGAUACUGACGCUGAGGUGCGAAAGUGUGGGGAGCAAACAGGAUUAGAUACCCUGGUAGUCCACACCGUAAACGAUGAAUGCCAGUUGUCGGGUAGCAUGCU